rnacentral:rRNA from 1 species
GACGAAUUUUGGCGGUGUGCUUAACACAUGCAAGUCGAACGGAAAGGCCCUGCUUUUGUGGGGUGCUCGAGUGGCGAACGGGUGAGUAACACGUGAGUAACCUGCCCUUGACUUUGGGAUAACUUCAGGAAACUGGGGCUAAUACCGGAUAGGAGCUCCUGCUGCAUGGUGGGGGUUGGAAAGUUUCGGCGGUUGGGGAUGGACUCGCGGCUUAUCAGCUUGUUGGUGGGGUAGUGGCUUACCAAGGCUUUGACGGGUAGCCGGCCUGAGAGGGUGACCGGCCACAUUGGGACUGAGAUACGGCCCAGACUCCUACGGGAGGCAGCAGUGGGGAAUAUUGCACAAUGGGCGGAAGCCUGAUGCAGCAACGCCGCGUGCGGGAUGACGGCCCUCGGGUUGUAAACCGCUUUCGCCUGUGACGAAGCGUGAGUGACGGUAAUGGGUAAAGAAGCACCGGCUAACUACGUGCCAGCAGCCGCGGUGAUACGUAGGGUGCGAGCGUUGUCCGGAUUUAUUGGGCGUAAAGGGCUCGUAGGUGGUUGAUCGCGUCGGAAGUGUAAUCUUGGGGCUUAACCCUGAGCGUGCUUUCGAUACGGGUUGACUUGAGGAAGGUAGGGGAGAAUGGAAUUCCUGGUGGAGCGGUGGAAUGCGCAGAUAUCAGGAGGAACACCAGUGGCGAAGGCGGUUCUCUGGGCCUUUCCUGACGCUGAGGAGCGAAAGCGUGGGGAGCGAACAGGCUUAGAUACCCUGGUAGUCCACGCUGUAAACGGUGGGUACUAGGUGUGGGGUCCAUUCCACGGGUUCCGUGCCGUAGCUAACGCUUUAAGUACCCCGCCUGGGGAGUACGGCCGCAAGGCUAAAACUCAAAGGAAUUGACGGGGCCCCGCACAAGCGGCGGAGCAUGCGGAUUAAUUCGAUGCAACGCGUAGAACCUUACCUGGGUUUGACAUGGAUCGGGAGUGCUCAGAGAUGGGUGUGCCUCUUUUGGGGUCGGUUCACAGGUGGUGCAUGGCUGUCGUCAGCUCGUGUCGUGAGAUGUUGGGUUAAGUCCCGCAACGAGCGCAACCCUUGUUCACUGUUGCCAGCACGUUAUGGUGGGGACUCAGUGGAGACCGCCGGGGUCAACUCGGAGGAAGGUGGGGAUGACGUCAAGUCAUCAUGCCCCUUAUGUCCAGGGCUUCACGCAUGCUACAAUGGCUGGUACAGAGAGUGGCGAGCCUGUGAGGGUGAGCGAAUCUCGGAAAGCCGGUCUCAGUUCGGAUUGGGGUCUGCAACUCGACCUCAUGAAGUCGGAGUCGCUAGUAAUCGCAGAUCAGCAACGCUGCGGUGAAUACGUUCCCGGGGCU